rnacentral:lncRNA from 1 species
GCAGCUUAUGUGGCUAGCAUAGUCUAAAUCUUAAUACUUAUGCAAUUCUUCCCAAACUCAUUAUUUACUCAACACACUCCAUGAGAAUUAUACAAACUAAAAUAAGCAAACUAAGCAUAACUUAGAAAUUCCGAAACAAAGAUACAUAAGAAAGUCUGCAAAAAUUUUCCAUUUUUCAUCACAACUACAUACAUCAAGCAUGCUUCAAUACUUCAGCAGCUAUCAUAGCCAAGAGAAUACCUGGAAAUGAAAAAGGGUAGAGAGAAAUGAGGCAGCAAUAAGCAACAACAAACUAGUAAGUCAGCGCUCAGGAAUCAGGAAACCAAGCAAAAAAAACCACUGGACUUAGCCAAUGGAACAGUAACUUUUAAAACCAACACUUCGAAUCAGCUUUUCAAGACCCCAGAAUCAAACCAUUUUAGCCCCCCAGAUUAAACCAGCAAUGGUUUCACAAUUAGAAAGCUUCAGAAAUCACAAAAGAAAAUAGAUGGAACAGUGUUUUACUAAAGUUUUCAGACGUGAGUAUUAUUUCUGGAUUUUUCUCUUGAAAAUCUCUCUUGGGUCUGCCUUGAAAGGCAAGAAAAGCUGCCUUUAUAGGCAAGUUACUAGGGCAAACUUAGCUUGCACUUUGCCCCCUUUUGAAUUUUGUUUUUUGCUUAAGUGUUCUUAGCUUAAAUUCCAGAAAUUCACUUUAAUCCCUACCCCCAGCUUCCUAGAAGCUUCCCAUUCAGUUACACUCAAGAUUCUUUAGGCCAAUUGCCUAGACUACCCCUCGAAAUGCCCCUUAAUCACACUCAGCAACUCACAGGUCAAGCUGAUCCAAAAGCUUGAUUUGAUACGGGUUAAAAAUCCAGGUUCAAUUCCUUCUUGGGCUUCUGAUUCCUCAGAGUUCAAUUAAAAUCAAACGAUGAUUCUAAUUUUGAAAACCUUACCCAAACUUUCUCUAAACAAAGAAACCUGAACUAUUUGUUUAAAAGCAGCCGAAACCAAAAGCAAAAUGACUGAACUAACCAAUCUAAUUUCAUAACAGCAAUUUAACUAAAUUAUGGGCCUAAUUUCAUUAACUAGGUGAUUAAACUGAUGAUGAAAAACUUAGACGAACAAAACAAGGUGGACUAAAGACAUCAGAUAAUCAAGCUUUCACAACGAAAUGAAAAGAAGAGGAAAAGAGAACAGGAGAUGGAACCAAUUUGAACUCAGACAACCCAAACAAACUUCGCCCAAACCAAAAGAGAAAGAAUGAGGAGGAAGAUGAAACAGUGAAAGAAAAUACAAGAGGGGAGGAGGAACUUACCAAAUCACGGUUCGAAACCUAAUUGAAACACUAGCUUAAACGAAGAGUGAUGUUACUCAGUUGUUCUUUGUAAGAACAAGUGAACAACAUCACAUUCAUGUUCAAACAACCUUCAAUCUUCAGAAGAGCAGGAGCAGGUAGCCAUGCAAACCAUGGAAUCAAGGAUUAACACAUUUUGACCCCUUGGGACUUCGGACCCUAUCCCUAGAUUCAAAAUUCGACGGAUUCGAGAAGGAUUUGAGGAGUAUGGGUUAGGGGUUUGGAGAGAGAGGAGGUCAUGGGGGUUAUGGGGUGUUAAUUUGGGGUUGAACAGAGGUGGCGCCGCCACCGGAGAGAACAAGGGCCGCGUUAGGGUUUCGAUCUUCUGAGCCAGAUUUGAGACAUUCGGGUGUGAUUCGAAAUGAGGAGAAGGAGAGGGAUCUAGGGUGUAAAUCCGGUGUCCAUCGGAGACCUACCGUCGUCGUAGGGCGAUUUCCGGCGGCGGUGCACGGUGGGGUUGAGGUGGAGUCUUUGGGAGUGUUGGAGACGACGAGGAGGGGGGUCUGAGGGUUCCGACACUUAAAUAUUAAGCACACCCUCAGUUCCUGUCCGUUGGAUGGAACAAC